GCAUUAAACCAGACGUCUUUUAGCCCAUUCUUUCAUCUUGUCUAUCCAGUAUCUUCUCAGUUUUCCCUUUCCUUGUUUCCCAUUGACUCUUCCUUCUGCGAUGUAGAUGUUGAGGUCCUGGGCCCUGGGGACAUGCCCGAAAUACUGCAACUUUCCCUUCUUCACAGUUGCCAAGAAUUCUCCUUCCCUUCAUAUUUUCUCAUCUCCCAAUUUGUUUGAUGGUCAGUUCAGCUGAUUGUCAGAAAUCUUGGGCAAUUCAUUGUUUCAAAUGCUUUCAGUUCGGCAGUGUUUUUCUCCAGUAGCACGAAUUCUGUUGCAAUGCAUUCGGACCAGUUUCCUGGUUUCAGGAUACCCCCACC